rnacentral:misc_RNA from 1 species
UCUCCGUUGGUGAACCAGCGGAGGGAUCGUUACAGAGUUUUUGCCCGCAAGGGUAGAUCUCCCACCCUAUGUUAUUCCUUCUCUGUUGCUUUGGCGGGCCGUCCGGCCUCGGUCAGGCCACCAGCUCCGGCUGGUGCGCGCCCGCCAGAGGACCCCAAACCCUAAAUGUCAGUGUCGUCUGAGUACUAUAUAAUAGUUAAGACUUUCAACAACGGAUCUCUUGGUUCUG